GAAUUCGCCCUUAGAGUUGUUUCUGUUUCAGGACGAAACAAUGGCGGCGUGCUUAACACAUGCAAGUCAAAAAAAAGCUUGAUUGUGGAACCUUGGGGUGAAGCAAGAUAUGAACUUAGGGGCGGACGGGUGAGUAAGGCGUGAGUAACCUGCCUUUCAGAGUGGAAUAACGUUUGGAAACGAACGCUAAUACCGCAUAACAUAGCGGGAUGGCAUCAUCCUGUUAUCAAAGAUUUAUCGCUGAAAGAUGGACUCGCGUCUGAUUAGCUAAUUGGUGAGGUAAAGGCUCACCAAGGUGACGAUCAGUAGCCGGAUUGAGAGGUUGAACGGCCACAUUGGGACUGAGACACGGCCCAGACUCCUACGGGAGGCAGCAGUGGGGAAUAUUGCACAAUGGGCGCAAGCCUGAUGCAGCAACGCCGCGUGAGGGAAGACGGUCUUCGGAUUGUAAACCUUUGUCUUUGGUGAAGAAUAAUGACGGUAGCCAAGGAGGAAGCCACGGCUAACUACGUGCCAGCAGCCGCGGUAAUAUGUAGGUGGCAAGCGUUGUCUGGAAUUACUGGGUGUGAAGGGAGCGCAGGCGGGACAGCAAGUUGGAUGUGAAAUACCGAGGCUCAAUCACGGUACUGCAUCCAAAACUGUUGUUCUUGAGUGAAGUAGAGGUAGGCGGAAUUACUUGUGUAGCGAGUGAAAUGAGUAGAUAUUAGGAGGAACACCAGGGUGAAGGAGGCUGCUUGGAUGGAUUAUUACUGUUGAGGAUGCUAAAAAGGGGGAGGAGAAAACAUUAUAAGAUACGGUGGUACUCCCCGCAAAAAACG
rnacentral:rRNA from 1 species